rnacentral:rRNA from 1 species
GAUCAUGGCUCCGGAUGAACGCUGGCGGCGUGCUUAACACAUGCAAGUCGAGCGAAGCACUUUGCUUUGAUUUCUUCGGGAUGAAGAGCUUAGUGACUGAGCGGCGGACGGGUGAGUAACGCGUGGGUAACCUGCCUCAUACAGGGGGAUAACAGUUAGAAAUGACUGCUAAUACCGCAUAAGACCACAGCACCGCAUGGUGCAGGGGUAAAAACUCCGGUGGUAUGAGAUGGACCCG